rnacentral:misc_RNA from 1 species
GGAAACACAAUGAAGCGGAUAUCCGUCAUAGUCUCCUCCAUCAUCAUCUUCCACACCCCCGUCCAACCUUUCAAUGCCCUUGGAGCUGCCAUAGCGAUCCUUGGCACAUUCCUGUAUUCACAGGCAAAGCAGUGAAGAAUCAAGAAUUCCAAGGUUGUGAUGUAAACAUUAGACAAUGGAAGAGUUAGAAUGAAGAUGCUGAGUUUGAUCGGAAUGAUUGGCGGUGGCUUUUGACAGAAAAAAUUGGCGAUGGCUUUCGUUAACAAUCUCUGAUGAUGGCCUUUAGACUAUCAAAGGGAAUCAGCCUUGCUAAGACGGUUAACAGCUGCUUCUUUUUCAAGAUCCUCGCUAGCAUUCUGCAGAGUAAUCUUAUAAUUGCCCUCGACAAAGUAGGUUGCAGUUUCAUUUCCUCUGUAUAAUGUCUGCAUAGUCAAUAAAGAAAAUGUUGGAGACCUUGUUUUGAUGCAAAAAU